CACCCCGUAGCGCAGUGGCUAGCGCGCGAAGCUUCGAGCUGCAGGUCGCAGUUUCUUUUUUGAGGGUUGCAGGUCGCAGGUUCGAAUCCUGCCUGCGCGU
rnacentral:tRNA from 1 species